rnacentral:rRNA from 1 species
AUCUAUGGCCAUGCCACCCUGAACAUGCCUGAUCCCAUCUGAUCUUGGAAGCUAAGAAGGGUCAGGCCUGGUUACUACUUGGAUGGGAGACCUCCUAGGAAGACCGAGCACUAUAGGUA